UGGCUCUCACGCGCUCUCCAUUUUGCCGCAUUUUACAGUGCGACAUUCACAGUGAGAGAGAGAGAGAGAAUGGAAAGUGAAGGUAAGGUGGUGGUGGAGAUGGUGGGAGGGAGAUCUACAGUGACAAGGUGCUUCUCAAAAUACCCCCUCAAAUUCAUAGUUCCCAAUAAGGUGGGUCCCUCUAGUAUUGAUGCUGUUUGGAUUUAUAGCCUCACCUAUGGUGGUGGCAUUGUCUCUGGAGAUUCUAUUUCAUGUGAAUUAACCGUUGGAGAUGGUUGCACCGCUGUCCUUACAACCCAAGCUUCAACAAAGGUAUACAAGUCCAUGGGAUCCAAGUGUUCUCAACAAGUCAUGGAGACAAGAGUUGGGAGUGGUGCUGUAUUGGCUGUCGUUCCAGACCCUGUGACAUGUUUCUCCACAGCAAGGUACUCUCAGAAACAAGUCUUCAGGGUGGUUCCAGACUCAAAUUUGGUCAUUGUUGAUUGGAUUACCAGUGGGCGCCAUGAAAGCGGAGAAAAAUGGGAUUUCGAUCUUUAUAAGAGCACCAACCACAUCUUCUUAGAAGACGAUCAGCCUUUGUUUCUUGAUACGGUGCUUCUAGAGCGAGGAAGUAUUACCUCUAUUACAGAACGCAUGCAGGACUAUCAAGUCAUUGCAAUGGUUAUUCUCAUGGGGCCAAAGAUGAAUCACAUUCAGAGCCAAGUUCAAGAAGAUGUGAAGAGGAUAAUGUCUGAGCAAUUACGUAUGCCUUCCACUUCCUUGGGCCGCCAAAUAAUAACGAAAUCUGAUCAUUGCUUGAUGAAACCAAGCUUUAUUGCUUCUGCUAGUGUCUUUGGUCCUAAGGGGAUAGGUCUUGUUGUUCGUGUAGCUGCCAUGACGACUGAAUCUGUUUAUAGAUUUCUGCAGCAUCAAUUGGCUUGCUUGGAGCCAAUGCUCGGGGUAUCACCCUAUCGUUAAAAUCAUGAAGGGAGAAUGUUUUUAUGAAAUCCUUGGCUCCAUUGGGUUUUUUGAUCAGUCACAAUCUGCUCCAAACCCCGGCCCAGGCUAAAGUAUAGUAGAGCAUUCACGACCAGCUUCGCUAUUUCUUCUCACCCAAGUCAUUGUCCAAACUUUUGGUGGAGUUUAGUUUGUGGAGCAUGUUUUACCUAGCUACCUUGGAGAUGUUUGAAAUAACAGUUCAAAGAAAGCGGAUUACUGUAGUUAAACUACGAAGCAAAGGGUCAUUUUUACAGUUAUACAGAAUAAUGCUGUAUCAGCAUGGGAUUUGAAACAGGUUAGACUCGAACAAUGGGGUUUAAGGACAAAGGUUUUUCCACCACUCUUAAGUAAGAAACUAGAAAUUAGAGUGUUCUUGCAAAGGGGCUUGAUCCUUUCCAGAAGAGAAGGUGGACUUUCUGAUUCAAAAGGCUUGGUUAGUAACAUCAUUCUGCACUAUAAGGUAGUCGCCUGCCUUCUCCAGCCACAUUAUGAGAAAGCUUUGGCUUGAAUGCCUGCUCCAGUAGGAUGAGCAGAAGUUGGAUUUGGAUAUAAUAUCCUGCAUCUAAAGUCUAUACUGGGCAUUUAGCUUACCGGUCAUGAUGCACAGGUUCUUGGUGCUAGGUUGAUCGAUCAAAUUAUUAGAGCCUUGUGGAAGCAUUAGCACCAUCAUCGAUGGCUUGUUUGAUACUAUAAACUCUCUUUUAUGGAGAGGAAUCUAACCUAACUUGAAUCUGCUGGUACUCUUCCAUGUGCAUCAGACUUGGGAAAUAAUAACCUGUUAAUCACCUUAUUGCCAGGUUGAAUACAGCCGCGCUCAUUCAUCGGACAUAAUCUGUAAACAACCUAAUAUACUUAUUUUAAAAUCACGUGGAUUGAAUGUAGAUUAA